rnacentral:rRNA from 1 species
UACGGAGGGGGCUAGCGUUGUUCGGAAUUACUGGGCGUAAAGCGCACGUAGGCGGCUUUGUAAGUUAGAGGUGAAAGCCCAGGGCUUAACCCUGGAAUUGCCUUUAAGACUGCAUCGCUAGAAUCGUGGAGAGGUGAGUGGAAUUCCGAGUGUAGAGGUGAAAUUCGUAGAUAUUCGGAAGAACACCAGUGGCGAAGGCGACUCACUGGACACGUAUUGACGCUGAGGUGCGAAAGCGCGGGGAGCAAACAGG